rnacentral:rRNA from 1 species
UGGCUCAGAUUGAACGCUGGCGGCAUGCUUUACACAUGCAAGUCGGACGGCAGCACAGAGAAGCUUGCUUCUUGGGUGGCGAGUGGCGAACGGGUGAGUAAUAUAUCGGAACGUACCGAGUAAUGGGGGAUAACUAAUCGAAAGAUUAGCUAAUACCGCAUAUUCUCUGAGGAGGAAAGCAGGGGACCUUCGGGCCUUGCGUUAUUCGAGCGGCCGAUAUCUGAUUAGCUAGUUGGUGGGGUAAAGGCCUACCAAGGCGACGAUCAGUAGCGGGUCUGAGAGGAUGAUCCGCCACACUGGGACUGAGACACGGCCCAGACUCCUACGGGAGGCAGCAGUGGGGAAUUUUGGACAAUGGGCGCAAGCCUGAUCCAGCCAUGCCGCGUGUCUGAAGAAGGCCUUCGGGUUGUAAAGGACUUUUGUCAGGGAAGAAAAGGCUGUUGCUAAUACCGACAGCUGAUGACGGUACCUGAAGAAUAAGCACCGGCUAACUACGUGCCAGCAGCCGCGGUAAUACGUAGGGUGCGAGCGUUAAUCGGAAUUACUGGGCGUAAAGCGAGCGCAGACGGUUACUUAAGCAGGAUGUGAAAUCCCCGGGCUCAACCUGGGGAACUGCGUUCUGAACUGGGUGACUAGAGUGUGUCAGAGGGAGGUAGAAUUCCACGUGUAGCAGUGAAAUGCGUAGAGAUGUGGAGGAAUACCGAUGGCGAAAGGCAGCCUCCUGGGAUAACACUGACGUUCAUGCUCGAAAGCGUGGGUAGCAAACAGGAUUAGAUACCCU